UACGGGGGGAGCAAGCGUUGUUCGGAUUUACUGGGCGUAAAGGGCUCGUAGGCGGCCAACUAAGUCAGACGUGAAAUCCCUCGGCUUAACCGGGGAACUGCGUCUGAUACUGGAUGGCUUGAGUUCGGGAGAGGGAUGUGGAAUUCCAGGUGUAGCGGUGAAAUGCGUAGAUAUCUGGAGGAACACCGGUGGCGAAGGCGGCAUCCUGGACCGACGACUGACGCUGAUGAGCGAAAGCCAGGGGAGCAAACGGG
rnacentral:rRNA from 1 species